CGUGCACUCUCCACUUCCUGUUCGACGAGACAAAAGGUCUCCUUGCAGAGAACCAGAUAAUAGUUUUUUUGACGAAGAUGAAUAUUGCAGAGGGAGAAUCACUGAAUCAUUGCUCAAAUAGAGRUUGAGAAGGAAAUCUAAGGUUACAAGUGUUAUGCGACUCCAAAUCCAACAUCAACUUUGCUUGAGAAGGGUGAAGAUUUCUUUCAACUUGGAGAUAUCCAAAUCAACCUCGACCCUUAUUCGUUCGAGUAGGAGAAGAGAAGGUAAUGCCAUAUCCUUCUUGGUUUAACAUUUAUACUUUUAAAGCAGGAUGUCGAAGGGUAUAAGGGAAGAGUUUUCGAUGAAAAACCCUUUGAUCAUCAAGUUACUAACCUAAUGAAAAACCCUUCGGAGCCCAAAGCAUCAUUCUUCCCGCCUUCUUCUCUUCGAUCAGUAUCUAUUUGUGGCCAUGGAAAACCCCGACAAGGAGAGUUUUGCCUUAACCUAUGCCCGCCUUCUUCUCUUAAUUUGCCCACCUAUUCAGCUUAACAAACCCUCUGCUUCUGUUAUGUUGCCCUAAAUUUGUUCCAGUGGAGUUUCCAGUAGAAAAAACCUUCUCCAUCGAUGCGCUUCGUAUUCAUAUGGUUCUUCACUGUUUUCUCUUAUUUUAGAAGUGAAUUAUGGCUUCCCACGUAGGUUUUGUUCCUCCUCCUCCUGCACCCUCUAAGGGUAAUGAGCCCAAGGUUGUGGAGAAAAUUGAUUACUUGAAUCUUCCUUGCCCCAUACUGUACGAAGAAAUCAAUUGAGAAGCUCUAAACCAGGAAGAACACAUCCAUGGAGUCGAUUGACUCUUCUAGGGAAGAAGAGUUCAACCAAUAUGUUAAGUGGAUUUGCAUUGGAAGAUGCUGUAUUAUUAGAGAAUUUGAUUUUUUUUCAAGUUCUUGUACUAGUUAUAUGUCAA